GCCACAACGGAAGUGCUCCAAACCUGCAGGGGGCGCUCAGUGUAACAGCUCAAUGGAGAGACACACCGGCUGGACAGAGAGAAAGGAUCUGCCUUUGAGAGACAGAAAACAGCUGACUGACGAUAAACUACAGCGGGGACUUAUGAUUGUUACGACUCCUGUAUGAGGACACAACUUACUGCUGGGGCCACAGAACUGUUGGCUGCUGAGACACUCAUGAUUCAUGAAAUGGGUCAAAUGCAGAUGACAAAGUAAAGCCCACACUGCACUGGAGGUGCUGAACCAGACUCCUGCCACAGAUUAGGACCUGACUUUGAACCUAUCAGACAUAAGGCCCAUUCUGCUCUUCCUCCUCCAGAAGACGAGAGAUACAUCAGACUGAGUGGCCCAAGUACAUUGGUUCAUGCCUUCACUGUCCAUGUCCACACUCACUGAGGAGGAGGUCGUCCAGACUGCAGCACAUCUGUAGGGCCUCUGGUUGCAUCAGGCCUUCCUCCUGCUGUCUCUAAUGUGUGUUAAUAGUGAUGUGUCCGUAAAGUUUAGGUUUAACUUCUAAUUUCUUGCACAAGUAAAACAGUAAAAUGGUGGUUCCUUUUCAUCUUAGCUGAGGAGCACCUAAACAACUUCAUCACUGAGGCAGUGUACCAUGAUAAAUGUGGCCUUAUAUGAUAUUACCAAGUGUGUGAGACAAAACUGAAAACAUAUCAUUUACUCAUAAGUUUUUCUGGAUGUUUUUCGUCUAUACUGACAUUUGUUUCAUGGUGAAAUGUGCUGUUUAUUUAGUGUCUCUUUUGGUAGUAACUGAUUACAUGCACUAUAAGAAUUUACUAUUGUACUGCAGUUAUGCAGAUAAUUUGUCCAUUUUGAAUUGUCACCUGGUUCAGUAAAAAGGUAACAGUUUGAGAGUACACUGACAAACAGUUGUUUGUACAAACCUAUUAAUGCAGUGUGUGCGUAAUGGGUUUAAUGUUCGACUAUUCACAUUAUGA